rnacentral:rRNA from 1 species
UACGAAGGGUGCAAACGUUGCUCGGAAUUAUUGGGCGUAAAGCGCACGUAGGCGGUAUUGCAAGUCGGAUGUGAAAUCCCUCGGCUCAACCAAGGAAGUGCAUCCGAAACUGCAGUACUUGAGUACGAAAGAGGAUCGCGGAAUUCCCGGUGUAGAGGUGAAAUUCGUAGAUAUCGGGAGGAACACCAGUGGCGAAGGCGGCGAUCUGGGUCGAUACUGACGCUGAGGUGCGAAAGCGUGGGGAGCGAACAGG